AUUGAACGCUGGCGGCAGGCCUAACACAUGCAAGUCGGGCGAGCGGCGGACGGGUGAGUAAUGUAUGUGGAUCUGCCUGAUGGAGGGGGCUAACUACUGGAAACGUUAGCUAAUACCGCAUACCAUCAGAUGAAACCAUAUGGGAUUAGCUAGUAGUUGAGGUAACGGCGCACCUAGGCGACUGUCCCUAGCUGGUCUGAGAGGAUGAUCAGCCACACUGGGACGUAGACACGGCCAAGCUCCUGACGUGAGUAAGAAGUGGGGAAGAUUGCAAAUGGGGGGAAAGCCUGAUGCAGCCAUGCCGCGUGUAUGAAGAGGGCUUUCGGUUUGUAAAGUCCUUUCAGUCGGGAGGCGUUACCGACAGAAGAAGCACCGGCUAACUCCGUGCCAGCAGCCGCGGUAAUAC
rnacentral:rRNA from 1 species